CAGACUUGUGCUCUUCCGAUCUGAAUGGUCUCAGAACUAUUUGUGUCAAUUGGCCAUUUAAGUUUAAUAGUAAAAGACUGGUUAAUGAUAACAAUGCAUUGUAAAACCUUCAGAAGGAAAG